AUUGAACGCUGGCAGCAUGCCUUACACAUGCAAGUCGAACGGCAGCACGGGUGCUCGCACCUGGUGGCGAGUGGCGAACGGGUGAGUAAUACAUCGGAACAUGUCCUGUAGUGGGGGAUAGCCCGGCGAAAGCCGGAUUAAUACCGCAUACGAUCUACGGAUGAAAGCGGGGGACCUUCGGGCCUCGCGCUAUAGGGUUGGCCGAUGGCUGAUUAGCUAGUUGGUGGGGUAAAGGCCUACCAAGGCGACGAUCAGUAGCUGGUCUGAGAGGACGACCAGCCACACUGGGACUGAGACACGGCCCAGACUCCUACGGGAGGCAGCAGUGGGGAAUUUUGGACAAUGGGCGAAAGCCUGAUCCAGCAAUGCCGCGUGUGUGAAGAAGGCCUUCGGGUUGUAAAGCACUUUUGUCCGGAAAGAAAUCCUUGGCCCUAAUACGGUCGGGGGAUGACGGUACCGGAAGAAUAAGCACCGGCUAACUACGUG
rnacentral:rRNA from 1 species